AGAGCGAACGCUGGCGGCAGGCUUAACACAUGCAAGUCGAGCGCCCCGCAAGGGGAGCGGCAGACGGGUGAGUAACACGUGGGAACGUGCCUUUUGGUUCGGAACAACACAGGGAAACUUGUGCUAAUACCGGAUAAGCCCUUACGGGGAAAGAUUUAUCGACCAAAAGAUCGGCCCGCGUCUGAUUAGCUAGUUGGUGGGUAAUGGCCCACCAAGGCGACGAUCAGUAGCUGGUCUGAGAGGAUGAUCAGCCAC
rnacentral:rRNA from 1 species